UUUACUCACAAGUUUGGAAGGGGGUGUGAAACAUAGGAGAUAGAUUUUUCAAAGUCCACUAAUACUCCUGUUGUUAAGAGAGAAGGGAAUAUGAGCCUACGUUAUCAAAAAAUGUAAUAAAAAAAUUACAACUUCCUUUCACUGCUUGAAAAAAUUAUCCUCAGAAUAGCAGUUCUUGCAACUAGUUCCUAAAGUGAGUCCCUGUUGCUGAGCAGCAGUUCUCUGUUGAAAAAGGACAGGAGUUUCAUUUUAAUCAAUGAGUGUAAUUACAGAGAAAUUAUAUUUUUACUCUUGAAUUUUCAGAUUCAUAGAAUGGCUUGGGUUGGAAAGGACCAAAGGCAUCAUCAAGUUCCACCAUCAAGGGCCACCUACCUCCAGAUAAUUGUUAACAAUAUUGUUCCUCUCCAUCUCUUCCUGGUAAAAAAAAAAACAAACAAAAAACAAAAACAGCCUUGCAAGCAAAAAAUAAAACCAAUGUACCUUAAUAAAUAAUGCUUUGGAAGAGAAGGGGGAAGGGAAGUAGACCAAGUGCAAAAAUAAAUACAAGAUUGUUCCAGGCCUCUCAGCUUAAGCGUGUACAGCACUCAUGGAAAGCAUCAGCUUCAGGAGCUGCAUUUUGAGAAGGCUGAACUCCGCAUCUUCAUCAGAAAUGAAACGUCUCCAAAUGAUUAAAGUCAUCAUCAAUUCUAGAGUGCCUUAUCUUUUAUUAUGAAUGAAAGCAAGCAGCUAGAAGUUGCCCUGGUCUUUCUCAAUGGCCAGAAGGAAUCACAAAGAGAGAAAAGGCUGUCACCGAGUCAGCCUUCAGCCUCAGCUCACAACUGUGAUUACAGAAGUCACACAAGAAUUCAACGCAACUAGAGGCAAGAAAAUAAUUCCCACCAACUCUGAUUAUUUUAAAGUAAGGAUCCAGAAACGCCUCCUACAUUUUGAUUGAAUUUCUCACAUUGGACGUAGGAAAUGGAACAGCACCCUGGAAAUUAUCACAAAAGUUACUUCUUGUUGCAGAUUGCAGCACAACUUUACUCAUUUCUUGCUAUUACAGAACAAUAGUUCAGG
ensembl:lncRNA